rnacentral:rRNA from 1 species
UUUAAGCAUAUUCACUCAGUGGAGGAAGCUCAAGCAACCGCGAUUGCUACAGUAAUGGCGAAUGAACUGGCAAUACACUUGGCUCAGCCUGAGAUGGUUCCUACCCGCCACUGCUUCGGCAGACUGUGCGGUCGGCUACUGUGGGCUCUAUCAAUGCUGUGGGUGUUGGAGUGGACGGCUUGCCCUGAUCGGUCGCGGUGCCAGGAAGAUGCCCUGGAAGGGAUCACAACAGAAGGAUACUGUCCUGUACACUGAGAGUGUGCCGUGGCCAUCAGGGUGAUGCUGUCUGCAUCCACGAGUAGAGCUGCUUGGGACUGCAGUUUGAAGUGUGGGGUGUAUCCCCCACAAGGAGCAAUACCACCAUGGGACCGAUAGUGCACAAGUAGAGUGAUUGAAGGAUGCAAAGGACUUUGCAAAGAGGGUUAAAAGUCCCUGAAGCCUUGACAGGAACGGUGGAGUGUGGUGCUGUGGAUCUGACCAACCGCCCUUGGGCCAGCCCCAGUGCUGGCUACUGAGCCUAUCACCGAAGUGGUGGAUGCAAUCGUGGCAGCAUGGGGUGACACAAAGCCUGUCAGGGCCUGAGGGUAUCUCGUCUUGAGCAAGGGUGAAGCAAAGCAGACAGCAGACCUGAGGCAAGCAGGCGUGAACCAGCCAUCGGCAGUCGGCAACCAUCGUGUCUGGCGGGAGCAUGUGUCACACCACCGCCAACGGCUACUGGAUGUAUGGACCACUACACACUGGAAGACUUGUCGUGCGUGCAGCAGAGUAUGGCUCCUCACAGGAGAGUGCAAUGCCAACACCGAGCACAAGACUCGUGGUAUGUGCCGUCACGUCCCAGUACACAAAGCAUGGCCGACGGUGGAGGUGAGUGAUGCACCCAGCUGGCAUGGACUGGUUUGGCUCGGGGAAUACUGCGCAGCCAAGGCGCUGGAGCUACUGCAACGUGGACAACUGCUGGAACAAACCUGGUGUGUCUUCGGGCGUGCCAGUCACUGCUGCCUAGCCUUGGUCGGGGCUGGUGAGUGUGUGGGAGCUGCACCACUUUGCUGGUGGCUGCUGCACGCUGUUGCCGGUCCCCCAGACAGUGCACAGUGCAGACAUGGCAGUUGAGGUUGGUGCAUGCAGUGCCACUCUCUGCCCGUCUUGAAACACGGACCAAGGAGUCUAUGGAGCUUGCCGGUUUGCAGGUGUUACAUCAAUGAAGCCCACAGGGCACGGUGAAAGCAAAGUCUCUUCCAGAUGGUGUAUGCUGCAUGGAACACCAGUCCCUGUGUCCAGUGGACGGGGUUUUGAGUGCUUGCAAGGUCCAUGGGACCCGAAAGGUGGUGAACUAUACCAUUCCAUGACGAAGCCAUGGGAAACUGUGGUGGAGGUCAGUCGCUGUUCUGACGUGCAAAUUGUGUAGCCUGAGUGUGGCAUAGGGGUGAAAGGCCAAUCGAACCACCUAGUAGCUGGUUUCCCUCGAAGUUUCCCUCAGGAUAGCUGGGCUCGAGUGCAAAGCCUUGACUGAGUGGUUACGUCCGGUAAAGCAACGCACGAGAGGCAACUGCGGGGAGGCUUCCCUCCUCGACCUAUUCUCGAACUGUGAAUGGGCGUGGCAAACCCAUGAGGCAUGCUUCUUCACCAGUGCCUGAGUCAGGGUAACACCUGUCCUCCCAAGGCUUUCUGAGCAUGUUUGGAAUGGCUUACUGCUGCUGUCACGGAAGGCCACGCAAUGGUGUGCUCUGUGUUGUGCUGUCUCGGGAGACCACUGGACUCGCCCAGGUCCACUCCUCGUGGUUAUGGAGAUGUCAAGACCGGCUGGCAGUACCGACAACCACGCACAAGCCCCGCUGUGCUGCGCUGACCGUAUUGUGUGGUGCCUAUUGCCUGAAUGGGCCGAUGUGUGCAAGCACAAAGCAACCUAUCAGCGGCUGACGAGCUGUCAUGGUGAACAAGUGUGCCUAUGUGGACCAGAAUUGGUAAGCAGUGCUGGUGAUGCGGGGUGCUCCGAGAGUGGACUUACAGAUCCAGAGUGCUGGCUCAUACUCAGAUCCCACAAAGGAUGUUGCCUGCUUUGGAUAGCAGGUCGGUGGCCAUGAAGGUUGGAACCCGCUAAGGAAUGUGUAACAACUCACCUGCCGAAGUGUGCAGCUCCAAAAAUGGAUGGUGCCCAAGUCAGUGAAGCUGAAUUUGCCUUACAGUCUGCCGCCACUGUGGCAUGUCGCAGAGCAGAGCAUUGUUGUGUAGAAUGGACACUGGGGACUGCAGAGCUGGUGGGGAUUGAUUCCCACAGGAGUGUCUCCUGGAGCAGAUCUUGGUUGUAGUAGCGAGUACUCCAUCAGGCAAAGAGUGGGAGCAAACCCCACUGUGUGUGGUUGAGGACUGGAGUGGAGCAGGUUUCCCCACCAAACAGCCGUUGAAUGGGGGUCAGCCGAUCGUGAGCCAAGUGGCAAGUGCACUGUACAACCAAAGCUGUCAUUCCCUCUGGGUGGACGCUGUCUGUGACCAACAGACCAGUGAAUGUGGGAGCAUACUGUGCUGUGAGCUGACACACAGCGGGUGCUGCAAUGCCACCGUGUACAAGGCCCGCCGGCUUGUCCAACCAACAAACCCCUGGGACCGUGCACCCCGACCGUGGGCAGACACUCUGUUGUGACGGUGAAAGGAAGCAGUCACUCACUCGGGACACAGUACCACAACCCGCUCCAGAGUGGUUCGUGACAGGAUUGGCAAACAGGCAAGCAUGAGCAACAUUCUGCUGUGGUGGGCUUGGAAUACUCAAGAGUGGUGACGCUAUGUGACUGGAGCAAGCAGGCUUUGGGGCAGUGCACCCCCCAGGGAGUUCUCGUUUCCUCCUGAUGCAGGCUCAUGUGGGCUAUCGAUUGGCAUGCCAGAUGGUGGUGUAAGCCCCCCGCCCAGCAAGGCAGUGUGCCCUUGACACUGGUGGUGUGUGGUGGCUGUGCUCGAGAUGCAGCAGCAGACGAAGUCAUCAGCGAUGUGUGAUCUGUCUACUAAAACCUUUGGUGGUCACUGGCUCCACUGAACAGCCUGUGGGACAUGAUGUCAUUCUUGGUCCCUGGCCCUCGUGCGAAUCACCGCAGCCGGUCUCCAUGGGCACGACGCCGCUGGUCUACAGAUUGAAUGCAGCUAAGGGAAGUCGGCAAACUAGCUGUGUACCUUUGGAAGAUGCAGUGGCUCCAGAGGUCAAGUCACUGGGCCCUGCCACAGGCAGUUGUCUCACAGAGGAGGCCACCUCGUAGUGGUCCUAUACCAUUGUGCUGGAAGGCCACCACUGGCGUGCACUGUUGUCAACAAGCAAAGCAGGCAAACAACCAAAGCGAAGCUCGAACACAAUCUGUGGCCGGGGGUGCGGGGAGCCCUCGGGCCACCUGUGCCCACCCUGGUGGCUACGUAGUGACCCACAUGGAACUGUUGCUGUGCAGGGGAAUCUGACUGUUUAAUUGAAACCCAGCUUUGUGAGGGGAUCAGCUGGCUGGUCCCAUGAGGUGACUUCUGCCCAGUGCUCUGAUUGUCAAUGCGAAGAGAUUCAGCCAAGCGCGGGUAAACGGCGGGAGUAACUAUGACUCUCUUAAGGUAGCCAAAUGCCUCGUCAACCAAUUAUUGACGCGCAUGAAUGGAUCAAUGAGAUUCCUGCUGUCCCUAGCUGCUGUCUGGUGAACCAACAGCCAAGGGAACGGGCUUGGAUGUGUCAGCGGGGAAAGAAGAGCCUGUUGAGA